AACGCGAAGAACCUUACCUGGGCUUGAACCGUUGGAAGUAGAAUUGAUGAAAGUCGAGACGACCUGUAAAGUCAGGAACCAAUAGAGGUGCUGCAUGGCUGUCGUCAGCUCGUGUCGUGAGAUGUUGGGUUAAGUCCCGCAACGAGCGCAACCCUUACCCUAUGUUGCUACGUCUGUAAUGGACAGCACUCUUAGGGAACUGCCUCGGACAACGGGGAGGAAGGUGGGGAUGACGUCAAGUCACCAUGGCCUUUAUGUCCAGGGCUACACACGUGCUACAAUGGCCGGUACAACGAGCAGCAAAUCCGCAAGGAGGAGCAAAUCUCUAAAAGCCGGCCCCAGUUCAGAUAGUGGGCUGCAAUUCGCCCACUUGAAGGCGGAAUCGCUAGUAAUCGGAGAUCAGCUGGCUCCGGUGAAUACGUUCCCGGGCCUUGUA
rnacentral:rRNA from 1 species